GCCGGGUGUGGUAGUGCACGCCUGUAGUCCCAGGUUCUUGGGAGGCUGAGGUGGGAGGAUCACUUGAGCCCAGGAGGUCAAGGCUGUAGUGAGCUGUGAUUGCACCACUGCCCACUGCCCACUGCACUCCAGCCUGGGUGACAGAGUAAGACUCUGUCUCAA
ensembl:misc_RNA Metazoa_SRP Metazoan signal recognition particle RNA